UAUAUAUAUAUAUAUAUAUAUAUAUAUAUAUAUAUAUAUAUAUAUAUUCUGAUACUUCAUUAGGAUCUAAAUUAGGUUUCUUACUGAUGGGCCUAAUAACUGCCAACUUGAAGGAUAAAGUCCAUUCUUUAUGUCUAUAUUACACUAUAUUUAUUUCUCAAAUCUGAUUGUUCAGAAAGUGUUGAUUCAUGUUUAUCACAACAAUCCUGACAACAGCACAACAGGUAAAAAGUAAACCAUCUUAUAUUUUAAUAUAGUUUUUAAAAGUUACAUUUUUGUCAAAAAUAUACGACACCUGGAACAUUCUAUUCUGAAUAUGUAAAUGUUUAUUUAUAUAUAAAUAAUAUAUAAAUAUUUUACUUUUUGUAAAUAUUUUAUGAUUUGUGUGCGUACUUCAAUUUGAUUUACCACCCCAUCACACUAACUUUUAUCAAUAACUUUUAUCAAUAAAUAAUCUACUGUUGCAUUAAAUGACAUCACAAAGCGGAGGUGACAUCAUUGGAGCCUUGACAUCAUUGGAGCCAUGAACAAAAAAAGGCAAGUACUGACAUUCCUCUACAUUCUUUAUUUGUUGAUUUUUCAUGUUAGGCAGCUUCCGUCAAGCUCAAACCAACCAGCCUGUCACGCAAGAUAGAGAGGGAAAACAGAUUUUUAUGUAUUUUUAACAUUAUUAAUGCAAAUAAAAUUAGAUUUCAGAUGAAAUGCACGUAUGCUAGGUGAGGAACUUGACCACAUGGGAGACAUGCGGCCAUUUUGGGAUGAUAUUUACCACCCCGUCACAUACCACCUCGUCACAUGUUUUAUUGUGACGUGGUGGUAAGGAAUUUGACGGGUGGUUCUGCUUCCCAUUUGAAUGUGAAGAUGUGUGAAAUCAAGGAUUCUGAUAUAGGUUCAUAUUUUGUAUCUGUUAACCCUGUUUUGCUUAUUCAUUACCUCACUGUCACACAAUCACUAUGUCACUCAAUCACUCUUUCACUCACUCUCUCUCUCACUCACUAUGUCACUCACUCACUAUGUCAAUCAUUCACUAUGUCACUCACUCAUCCACCCACUCAUUCAUUCACUUGAAAAGAACAGCGGACAAGCUGGUGACCAACGGGCGUGACAUACCCGAUGCCCAUGUGCUAUAUAAGGCCCUAACUGAAACAUCUACAACUGUUAAGUUUUAUGUACACUCUAAAAAAUGAUUCAUGGGGUUAGUUUGUAAAACUUAAAAUAAACAAUAUUUUCAGCAUAAAAUAAUUAAGUUUGUAAUAUGUACUUGUAUUGGUGAGUUGAUAACUCAUUUUAAUAAGUCUUUCAAAAUUAAAAUAAUGAAUACUGUCUUAACUUAAUUAUAUAUCGAUUUUGAACACAGACUUUUACCUUCUCGUAACAACAGAAAAAUAUUAAGUUAGUGAAACUUGUAUAUCUAGUGAGCAUCUUUUAAAAAGUUGAGUAAAGGUGGAAUUUGCCCGGACGUGUUUUUCUGCCAGAGAAGGACUAGGAGCCGGAGAAACAGGAGAAUCGAGGCUAUAUAGGAUGAUGAGGUGCCACAAAUUUUGACCCAGCCAACGCCAGUAUUAUUAUUGAGGGAACGGAAGUCCUGCAAGACCUGGAUGCAUCCAGAGCCUGUGCCCUGCUAGGGCUGAUAUAUGCUCUCAACCUCAGCUACCCAAAGGAACUAAAAAAUACUUUUGAGGUGUUUCAGAAAAUAAUUCUUGAGCUGGAUGGUCUGAAAGCUAGGCCAAAGGUAAUGUCUUUAAACAAUAAACUGUUGUAUUCCUGAAA